rnacentral:rRNA from 1 species
GACGAACGCUGGCGGCGUGCUUAACACAUGCAAGUCGAACGGUGAAGCGCAGCUUGCUGCGCGGAUCAGUGGCGAACGGGUGAGUAACACGUGAGUAACCUGCCCCUGACUCUGGGAUAAGCGUUGGAAACGACGUCUAAUACCGGAUAUGACCUGCGGACGCAUGUUCUGCGGGUGGAAAGAUUUUUCGGUUGGGGAUGGACUCGCGGCCUAUCAGCUUGUUGGUGAGGUAAUGGCUCACCAAGGCGACGACGGGUAGCCGGCCUGAGAGGGUGACCGGCCACACUGGGACUGAGACACGGCCCAGACUCCUACGGGAGGCAGCAGUGGGGAAUAUUGCACAAUGGGCGCAAGCCUGAUGCAGCAACGCCGCGUGAGGGACGACGGCCUUCGGGUUGUAAACCUCUUUUGGCAGGGAAGAAGCGAAAGUGACGGUACCUGCAGAAAAAGCACCGGCUAACUACGUGCCAGCAGCCGCGGUAAUACGUAGGGUGCAAGCGUUGUCCGGAAUUAUUGGGCGUAGAGAGCUCGUAGGCGGUUUGUCGCGUCUGCUGUGAAAACGCGAGGCUCAACCUCGCGCCUGCAGUGGGUACGGGCAGACUAGAGUGCGGUAGGGGAGAUUGGAAUUCCUGGUGUAGCGGUGGAAUGCGCAGAUAUCAGGAGGAACACCGAUGGCGAAGGCAGAUCUCUGGGCCGUUACUGACGCUGAGGAGCGAAAGCGUGGGGAGCGAACAGGAUUAGAUACCCUGGUAGUCCACGCCGUAAACGUUGGGAACUAGAUGUGGGGUCCAUUCCACGGAUUCCGUGUCGCAGCUAACGCAUUAAGUUCCCCGCCUGGGGAGUACGGCCGCAAGGCUAAAACUCAAAGGAAUUGACGGGGGCCCGCACAAGCGGCGGAGCAUGCGGAUUAAUUCGAUGCAACGCGAAGAACCUUACCAAGGCUUGACAUGCACCUGAAAAGGCUGGAAACAGUCUCCUCGCAAGACAGGUGCACAGGUGGUGCAUGGUUGUCGUCAGCUCGUGUCGUGAGAUGUUGGGUUAAGUCCCGCAACGAGCGCAACCCUCGUUCUAUGUUGCCAGCGCGUCAUGGCGGGAACUCAUAGGAGACUGCCGGGGUCAACUCGGAGGAAGGUGGGGAUGACGUCAAAUCAUCAUGCCCCUUAUGUCUUGGGCUUCACGCAUGCUACAAUGGCCGGUACAAAGGGCUGCGAUACCGCAAGGUGGAGCGAAUCCCAAAAAGCCGGUCUCAGUUCGGAUUGAGGUCUGCAACUCGACCUCAUGAAGUCGGAGUCGCUAGUAAUCGCAGAUCAGCAACGCUGCGGUGAAUACGUUCCCGGGCCU